rnacentral:pre_miRNA from 1 species
CAAGUACUCCCUCCGUCCGAAAAUACUUGUCAUCAAAAUGGAUAAAAAGAGAUGUAUCUAGAACUAAAAUACAUCUAGAUACAUCCCCUUUUAUUCAUUUUGAUGACAAGUAUUUCCGGACGGAGGGAGUAAGAA